UACGUAGGGGGCAAGCGUUGUCCGGAAUCAUUGGGCGUAAAGAGCGUGUAGGCGGCCCGAUAAGUCCGCUGUGAAAGUCCAGGGCUCAACCCUGGGAUGCCGGUGGAUACUGUCGGGCUCGAGUCCGGAAGAGGAGUGUGGAAGUUACCUCGGUGUAGCGGUGAAAUGCGCAGAUAUCAGGAGGAACACCAUGGCGGAGGCAGCACUCUGGGACGUGACUGACGCUGAGACGCGAAAGCGUGGGGAGCAAACAGG
rnacentral:rRNA from 1 species